rnacentral:misc_RNA from 1 species
CCAAACUUGGUCAUUUAGAGGAAGUAAAAGUCGUAACAAGGUCUCCGUUGGUGAACCAGCGGAGGGAUCAUUAUAGAGAGCCUAAAAACUCCCUAAAACCACUGUAAACUUACCUGUCUGUUUGCUUCGGCAGGCGGCCCCCGGGGGGGUCGUGGCCCGUAACAGGGCGCCUGCCGGAGGUUUUUAACGCUCUGUUAUACACUGUCAUCUGAGUCCAGCGAGCAAUAAAUCAAAACUUUCAACAACGGAUCUCUUGGUUUGGGCAUCGAUGAAGAACGCAGC